UGCAGAUCUUGGUGGUAGUAGCAAAUAUUCAAAUGAGAGCUUUGAAGACCGAAGUGGAGAAAGGUUCCAUGUGAACAGCAGUUGGACAUGGGUUAGUCGAUCCUAAGAGAUAGGGAAAUUCCGUUUGCAAGCGCCCGAUCUUGGGCCGCCUAUCGAAAGGAUAACUUGCACCCCUAUGACCUUGUUCUUGAUAUCAUUGACCCUUAUUUACCAACCCUUGAAACCCUGUACCCCUUUGACCAACUCUUGUUACCCUGUACACCUGUCAACUCACCCACUAACUCCCUUAUCUUAACGUCCCCUUAACGUCCCCUUAACGUCCUUAUCUUAGCACCCCUGAAAAAAUCCCAAGUUGAUCUUACCUGGAUUCGAACCCCGGCCCUCUUGUUUGAGAAGAGAAGCCCGUACCAUUGAGCUAUAGCGCCACUUUUUUGAAAACUAGAAGUAACUACCGUAUAGCCUUGUUUACCCAGCCUUAUAAGGUAUAGAGUAGUUUUUCCUUGAUAUCUCGAGAGUGGCGCUGUGGCUCAGUGGUACGGGCUUCGUUUCUCAUGCAAAAGGGCCAGGGUUCGAAUCCAGGUA
rnacentral:ncRNA from 1 species